rnacentral:rRNA from 1 species
GGGUGAGGAACGCGUGGAGAACCUGCCCUUCGACAGGGGGAUAACAGCUGGAAACGGCUGUAAUACCGCAUAUGCUCACAGGAUCGCAUGAUCCAGGGAGGAAAGCCGAGACGGUGAAGGAUGGCUCCGCGUCGGAUUAGCCAGUUGGCGGGUAACGGCCCACCAAAGCGAUGAUCCGUAGCCGGCCUGAGAGGGCGACCGGCCACAUUGGGACUGAGACACGGCCCAAACUCCUACGGGAGGCAGCAGUGGGGGAUAUUGCACAAUGGGGGGAAACCCUGAUGCAAGCGACGCCGCGUGAAGGAGGAAGUGCUUCGGCAUGUAAACUUCUAUCAGCGGGGAAGAAGAUGACGGUACCCGCACAAGAAGCCCCGGCUAACUACGUGCCAGCCGCUGC